rnacentral:rRNA from 1 species
GCACAUUUCUUGUGUGACCGCGUACUUUUUGUAGAACGGGCCAACGAGUUACGUUAAGUAGCAAGGUUAAGCACUUAAGGUGCGGAGCCGUAGCGAAAGCGAGUUUUAACUGAGCGUUCAGUUACUUGACGUAGACCCGAAACCGGGCGACCUACCCAUGAGCAGGAUGAAGCGAAAGUAAAAUUUCGUGGAGGUCCGAACCCACGAGCGUUGAAAAGCUCGGGGAUGACUUGUGGGUAGCGGUGAAAUUCCAAUCGAGCCCGGAGAUAGCUGGUUCUCCCCGAAAUAGCUUUAGGGCUAGCCUCAAGGUGAGAGAUACGGAGGUAGAGCACUGAAUGUCCUAGGGGGUAUUGCACCUACCGAAGACUAUCAAACUCCGAAUGCCGUCAUCUUAUACUUGGGAGUCAGACUGUGGGUGAUAAGAUUCAUAGUCGAAAGGGCAACAGCCCAGAUCGUCAGCUAAGGUCCCUAAAUGUAAGUUAAGUGGUAAAGGAUGUGGGAUUGCACAGACAACCAGGAUGUUGGCUUAGAAGCAGCCACUCAUUCAAAGAGUGCGUAAUAGCUCACUGGUCGAGUGAUCCUGCGCCGAAGAUUUCCGGGGCUAAAACUUACUACCGAAGCUACGGCAUCAGUAAUGAUGGGUAGGGGAGCUUCCCAUACGGGUUGAAGCAUGACCGUAAGGACAUGUGGACAGUAUGGGAGUGAGAAUGUUGGCAUGAGUAGCGAGAUGUGGGUGAGAAUCCCACAGGCCGUAAACCCAAGGUUUCCAGGGGAAGGUUCGUCCGCCCUGGGUUAGUCGGGACCUAAGCUGAGGCCGAAAGGCGUAGGUGAUGGACAACAGGUUGAUAUUCCUGUAC